rnacentral:misc_RNA from 1 species
AACGCACAUUGCGCCCGCCAGUAUUCUGGCGGGCAUGCCUGUCCGAGCGUCAUUUCAACCCUCGAACCCCUCCGGGGGGUCGGCGUUGGGGAUCGGCCCCUCACCGGGCCGCCCCCGAAAUACAGUGGCGGUCUCGCCGCAGCCUCUCCUGCGCAGUAGUUUGCACACUCGCACCGGGAGCGCGGCGCGGCCACAGCCGUAAAACACCCCAAACUUCUGAAAUGUUGACCUCGGAUCAGGUAGGAAUACCCGCUGAACUUAA